AGAGUUUGAUCCUGGCUCAGAUUGAACGCUGGCGGCAGGCCUAACACAUGCAAGUCGAGCGGAUGAGGGUAGCUUGCUACCUGAUUCAGCGGCGGACGGGUGAGUAAUGCCUAGGAAUCUGCCCGAUAGUGGGGGACAACGUUUCGAAAGGAACGCUAAUACCGCAUACGUCCUACGGGAGAAAGCAGGGGACCUUCGGGCCUUGCGCUAUCGGAUGAGCCUAGGUCGGAUUAGCUAGUUGGUGGGGUAAAGGCUCACCAAGGCGACGAUCCGUAACUGGUCUGAGAGGAUGAUCAGUCACACUGGAACUGAGACACGGCCCAGACUCCUACGGGAGGCAGCAGUGGGGAAUAUUGGACAAUGGGGGGAACCCUGAUCCAGCCAUGCCGCGUGUGUGAAGAAGGCCUUUUGGUUGUAAAGCACUUUAAGCGAGGAGGAGGCUACUCUAGUUAAUACCUAGAGAUAGUGGACGUUACUCGCAGAAUAAGCACCGGCUAACUCUGUGCCAGCAGCCGCGGUAAUACAGAGGGUGCGAGCGUUAAUCGGAUUUACUGGGCGUAAAGCGUGCGUAGGCGGCUUUUUAAGUCGGAUGUGAAAUCCCUGAGCUUAACUUAGGAAUUGCAUUCGAUACUGGGAAGCUAGAGUAUGGGAGAGGAUGGUAGAAUUCCAGGUGUAGCGGUGAAAUGCGUAGAGAUCUGGA
rnacentral:rRNA from 1 species